rnacentral:rRNA from 1 species
AUUGAACGCUGGCGGCAGGCCUAACACAUGCAAGUCGAGCGAGCGGCGGACGGGUGAGUAAAGUAUGGGGAAUGCCCGAGAGAGGGGGAUAACUACUGGAAACGGGAGCUCAUACCGCAUACUCUAGGAUUACCCAUAUGGGAUUAGCUAGUAGGUGGGGUAAUGGCUCACCUAGGCGACGAUACCUAGCUGGUCUGAGAGGAUGAUCAGCCACACUGGGACUGAGACACGGCCCAGACUCCUACGGAGGCAGCAGUGGGGAAUAUUGCACAAUGGGCGCAAGCCUGAUGCAGCCAUGCCGCGUGUAUGAAGAAGGCCCUAGGGUUGUAAAGUACUUUCAGUCGGGAGGCGUUACCGACAGAAGAAGCACCGGCUAACUCCGUGCCAGCAGCCGCGGUAAUAC